rnacentral:rRNA from 1 species
GGUGACGGGUAGCCGGCCUGAGAGGGCGACCGGCCACACUGGGACUGAGACACGGCCCAGACUCCUACGGGAGGCAGCAGUGGGGAAUAUUGCGCAAUGGGCGGAAGCCUGACGCAGCGACGCCGCGUGGGGGAUGACGGCCUUCGGGUUGUAAACCUCUUUCGCCAGGGACGAAGAGUGAUUGACGGUACCUGGAGAAGAAGCACCGGCCAACUACGUGCCAGCAGCCGCGGUAACACGUAGGGUGCGAGCGUUGUCCGGAAUUAUUGGGCGUAAAGAGCUCGUAGGCGGUGUGUCGCGUCGGCCGUGAAAACUUGGGGCUUAACUCUGAGCGUGCGGUCGAUACGGGCAUCACUUGAGUUCGGCAGGGGAGACUGGAAUUCCUGGUGUAGCGGUGAAAUGCGCAGAUAUCAGGAGGAACACCGGUGGCGAAGGCGGGUCUCUGGGCCGAUACUGACGCUGAGGAGCGAAAGCGUGGGGAGCGAACAGGAUUAGAUACCCUGGUAGUCCACGCCGUAAACGUUGGGCGCUAGGUGUGGGGACCAUUCCACG